AGUGCACUGGUGGGGUCCCUCAGCCUGGUCUGUGCCCUCUCACAAUCCAGGACCCCUCAGGGGAUGUUGGAGAGCUGGUUUCAGCCCAAUCUCCACAGGCUAGGCUGAGGGACCCCACCGGUGCAUG
rnacentral:pre_miRNA from 1 species